rnacentral:rRNA from 1 species
GUGGGGAAUAUUGGACAAUGGGCGCAAGCCUGAUCCAGCCAUGCCGCGUGUGUGAAGAAGGCCUUAUGGUUGUAAAGCACUUUAAGCGAGGAGGAGGCUACUUUAGUUAAUACCUAGAGAUAGUGGACGUUACUCGCAGAAUAAGCACCGGCUAACUCUGUGCCAGCAGCCGCGGUAAUACAGAGGGUGCAAGCGUUAAUCGGAUUUACUGGGCGUAAAGCGCGCGUAGGCGGCUAAUUAAGUCAAAUGUGAAAUCCCCGAGCUUAACUUGGGAAUUGCAUUCGAUACUGGUUAGCUAGAGUGUGGGAGAGGAUGGUAGAAUUCCAGGUGUAGCGGUGAAAUGCGUAGAGAUCUGGAGGAAUACCGAUGGCGAAGGCAGCCAUCUGGCCUAACACUGACGCUGAGGUGCGAAAGCAUGGGGAGCAAACAGGAUUAGAAACCCCUGUAGUCC